AGGCACACAAGACACACAUGCCAGUUCCUCCUCCAUUAUCAAUGCGCAUUGUGUCCCACAUAAGCCCCUUUAAGGCAUUUCACAGAUUGUCUUUCAGUUAAAGGAGCGUACAAAUUGUGAUGGCAUUCGGAACUCGGUUUAUCGAGUAAUCCCUUUUGUAUGACAAUUUUCGGAGAAGAAUCUUCAAUGAAAGGUGCAAAUUCAAGG
rnacentral:lncRNA from 1 species